rnacentral:rRNA from 1 species
GAUCAUGGCUCAGGACGAACGCUGGCGGCGUGCCUAACACAUGCAAGUCGAACGGAGUAUUACGUUGAAAUGAUAUUAGCUUGCUAAAGGAUUUUCUUGUAAUACUUAGUGGCGGACGGGUGAGUAACGCGUGAGCAACCUGCCUUUCAGAGGGGGACAACAGUUGGAAACGACUGCUAAUACCGCAUGAAGCACAGAGAUCGCAUGGUUUUUGUGCCAAGGAUUUAUCGCUGAAAGAUGGCCUCGCGUCUGAUUAGCUAGUUGGUAGGGUAACGGCCUACCAAGGCGACGAUCAGUAGCCGACCUGAGAGGGUGAUCGGCCACAUUGGGACUGAGAUACGGCCCAGACUCCUACGGGAGGCAGCAGUGGGGAAUAUUGGGCAAUGGGGGAAACCCUGACCCAGCAACGCCGCGUGAAGGAAGAGGGCCUUCGGGUUGUAAACUUCUUUUAGUAGGGACGAAUACAUGACGGUACCUACAGAAAAAGCAACGGCUAACUACGUG